UAGCUGAUGAGGGGUAGCGAAUGGUAGUUGGUGUUGAUAAGAGUAUAGAAACAACGCCAUCUUUCAGUCACUAGUCACUCCUGCAAGAAACUUAAUCACCCAAUCUUCUCUCUGCCUCUUAUAAUACUCUCUGUUAUACAUUCACACUACAAGCUAAGUAACGACAUUAUAUUCAACAAAGGAAUUGAGAAAGUAAAGAACGGAAAGAAAAGGAGAGGAAAUAUGCCACCACCUUGGGGACCACCGGGAGGGCCUCCUGCUGGCGGCGGUUUCUGCAAUUGUAUAUGUAGCCUUCUAUCCUCUUGCUUAUACUUACUGUGCUGCUGCUGUCUCUUGGAGAGUUGUUGUGGACCAAUGUUUGGUGGACCUCCAGGACCCCCUCACUUCUGAUGAACCAUAUAAAAUGGUUGUUCCAAACCAAAGAGUGAAAUAAAACAAGCAUCAUCACCAACUGAAAAUGGCUUCGUUUGCUUGCUCUUUUGUUUGUUGGAUUGGUAUAUAUAUAUUAGGGAAGGGAAUGCCAAUCAUAAAAUGCCACUUUCCGCAUACUUGCAAUGUGUCAUUUCUAUCCUCCUGAAGAGAGUAGUUUAAGUAUUUAAUUAAUGUUUAUUAUGCAAACAUAUAUGUUAAGGUUGAUUUUACAUAGAAGUGUAGAAUUGCCUGCCUCAUGGGUUCAGUGUGCAGUAAA